rnacentral:rRNA from 1 species
CCAAUAGCGUAUAUUAAAGUUGUUGCAGUUAAAAAGCUCGUAGUUGAAUUUCGGGAUCAAUACGUCGGUCGUGCUUCGGUACGUACUGGCGUCAUUGAUUUCUCCCUUCUGACGAACCAUGAUGUCAUUAACUUGGUGUCAUGGGAAAUCAGGACUGUUACUUUGAAAAAAUUAGAGUGUUUAAAGCAGGCUCACGCUUGAAUACAUUAGCAUGGAAUAAUGAAAUAGGACGUUCGAUCCUAUUUUGUUGGUUUUUAGGAUCAACGUAAUGAUUAAUAGGGAUAGUUGGGGGCAUUAGUAUUCAAUUGUCAGAGGUGAAAUUCUUGGAUUUAUUGAAGACUAACUACUGCGAAAGCAUUUGCCAAGGAUGUUUUCAUUAAUCAAGAACGAAAGUUAGGGGAUCGAAGACGAUCAGAUACCGUCGUAGUCUUAACCAUAAACUAUGCCGACUAGGGAUCGGAUGAUGUUAAUUUUUUAAUGACUCAUUCGGCGCCUUACG